rnacentral:rRNA from 1 species
UACGUAGGGAGCAAGCGUUGUCCGGAAUCAUUGGGCGUAAAGCGCGAGCGUAGGUGGCCUCAUAAGUCCGUUGUGAAAGUCAAAGGCUCAACCUUUGAAAGGCCGAUGGAUACUGUGAGACUAGAGUACGGAAGAGGCGAGUGGAAUUCCUGGUGUAGCGGUGGAUGCGCAGAUAGUCAGGAGGAACACCAAUAGCGAAGGCAGCUCGCUGGGACGUUACUGACACUGGAGGCGCGAAAGCCAGGGGAGCGAACGGG